rnacentral:rRNA from 1 species
CCUACGUGGGGCAGCAGUGGGGAAUAUUGCACAAUGGGCGAAACCCUGAUGCAGCAACGCCGCGUGGGUGAAGGAGCGUUUCGGCGCGUAAAGCCCUGUUAGCGGGGAAGAAGAAAGACGGUACUCAAUCAAGAAGCCCCGGCUAACUACGUGCCGACAGCCACGGUUAUACGUAGGGGGGCAGCGUUAUCCGGAAUUACUGGGCGUAAAGGGAGCGUAGACGGUGAGGUAAGACUGAUGUGAAAGCCCCCGGCUCAACCGGGGAAGUGGUUUGGGAACUGUGUAGCUUGAGUAUGGGAGAGGUAAGCGGAAUUCCUGGUGUAGCGGUGAAAUGCGUAGAUAUCAGGAGGAACACCGGUGGCGAAGGCGGCUUACUGGACCAUAACUGACGUUGAGGCUCGAAAGCGUGGGGAGCGAACAGGAUUAGAUACCCGGGUAGUC